UAGUGCAAUCGGUUAGCACAGUAGAUCUGAAAUCUGUAGAUGCGGGUUCGAGUCCAGC
rnacentral:tRNA from 1 species